rnacentral:rRNA from 1 species
ACCUAAUAGAUACCCGGGUAGUCCACGCCCUAAACGAUGCGAACUGGAUGUUGGGUACAUUACGGUACUCAGUGUCGAAAGCUAAACGCGUUAAGUUCGCCGCCUGGGGAGUACGGUCGCAAGACUGAAACUCAAAGGAAUUGACGGGGGCCCGCACAAGCGGUGGAGUAUGUGGUUUAAUUCGAUGCAACGCGAAGAACCUUACCUGGCCUUGACUUCUGUCGAAUCCUGCAGAGAUGCGGGAGUGCCGCAAGGAACGACAAGACAGGUGCUGCAUGGCUGUCGUCAGCUCGUGUCGUGAGAUGUUGGGUUAAGUCCCGCAACGAGCGCAACCCUUGUCCCUAGUUGCCAGCACGUAAUGGUGGGAACUCUAGGGAGACUGCCGGUGACAAACCGGAGGAAGGUGGGGA